rnacentral:lncRNA from 1 species
CUUUCUGUUGUACGUAACAUUAUUAUUACUUUUUUUUUCUUGAGACGGAGUCUCACUCUCUCACCCAGGCUGGAAUGCAGUGGCACCAUCUUGGCUCACUGCAGCCUCCUCCUCUCGGGUUCAAGCGAUUCUCCCGCCUCAGCCUCCCAAGUAGCUGGGAUUACAGGUUUAGAAGAUCGUGACCACAUGGAUCAUCUAACUGAAUGGUACAUGGGGACACAAUGGUCCUAUAGAGAAUAUAUGUGAAUUGUUGGCUAAUUUCUUGAUUUGCGACUCAACAUAGGACAUCGCUUGUUCAUAUCUAUCAGAACACUCCUGAAUUUUCCCCACCAUGCUAUCUUUAUUA